GAAGGGCUGUUGGUGGUGGAAUGUCAGGUCCUCCAAUGGCUGAUCAUUCUAUGAGGGGUCGUCCUGGAGCUAUGUCUUCUGAUCUACUAACAAAUGGUCGAAAUAUGAAUCUUGCUAAUCAGCUCCCAGUAGAUGCAACGGCUAGGCCUGGACGUGAAACAGUUCCUUUGCCUCUGGAUGCAUCCAGCACUUUAUAUGUUGAAGGACUUCCUCCUGACAGCACAAGGAGGGAAGUAGCUCGUAUCCUUUAUGAUCUUUCUAUUAUGCUUAAGAGUUAGUGCAUUUUGCUGUUUCCAAUCUUAUUGCUUAACCCAAUAAAUUUUCCAUCGCUGAUCCUUUACAUUACUCCAAGAUAUCUUUCGUCCUUUUGUGGGAUACAAAGCAGUGAGGCUUGUGAGCAAAGAGUCCAAACAUGUAUGUGGGGGAGGAUUAUUGUAAACAAUUACUUUUCUUAGUCAUUCUGUUUUUAUUGUUCACUCUGACUUGAGAUUCUUGUUGUGCUACUUGAUUUGACUUUUGGGAAGUUUAUAAUCUGUCUUCACACUAAUAUUCCGGUUUGUCCAUAAUGCAGCGUGGUGGGGACCCUCUUAUUCUUUGUUUUGUGGAUUUUGAAAAUCCAGCCUGUGCAGCAACUGCUAUGAGUGCGUUGCAAGGUGAUUGCUUUUUCUUGUCAUCAACCUUGGUGGCUAUCAGUUUCAAAGAAAGCUUGUUUCUUCCUUUUGUUUUUAUUUGUUUCCUUUAUAACUUUGUAACUGCUAUUUCAAUGGUACCUUAUUCAAUCAUGUAAAUGGUAAAUUUAUGCUAGAAUUCUUCAUGCAUAGCCAGGUGUAAAGAGGAUGAGGCAGUUCACAAAAAUGUUAUAGAUGGUUUCUUGUAAUUGGAGUUUAUGAUACCUCUACACUCUAGAUCCUGUAGAACUAGCUUGCGUUGCUCAUUAUAAUUUCCCAUGCUAGUGGUUUUUGAAAUGCUGGAAGAUGCUGACAUUUGUGUUGCUUUCGCAGGUUAUGAAAUGGACGAACACGCUCCAGAUUCUAAUUACUUGCGGCUGCAGUUUUCUCGGUUCCCAGGUCCCAGGUCUGGACCUGGACGUAACAAGAGGUGAUAGGCAUUAGGUAAUGAGAAACAUCUGUGUUGACGUAAUCAAGAUUAUAUUAGCUCUUAUACAUUCCAUAUAUAUUCUCCUUUCUGUAGUGGUAACCACAUUGUACCCAGAAUAUACAAUGUUAAUUGCUCAGGCUUGGGCACACACUAACUGUAAGUACUUGUUAUGCACGCUGUUGUUUCCAGGUAGUGAAUUCAGAUAGUUUUAUAGUAGUUCUAUUUAACGGAGAUCUGAUUUUGCAUUUCCAUGGUCUACGAAAUUUACUGAAGGAAUGUUUUUAAUUCUGAAUAUCUUCUUCUCUUUGACGAAAUUUACUGAAGGAAUGUUUUUAAUUCUGAAUAUCUUCUUCUCUUUGACAAUAUACCAUGUAUAGACUACCGCAAAAUUAGUAGAGAUAGUUUCCAUACAGAUUGUUUCCAUAUUCUGGAGGACUUCCAUUGCCGGAGUAUCUUGCCACCAUAGUGUCCCGUGCCAAUGACAUAAUGUGUUGUGGAGACACUUCAAAUGGCACUAGGCAUGUGUUGUACCUGUCCCAUGAAAGUUGCUCUCCAUAUUUAGAAGCGGGAAUCAUUCUUGGGGAUGGAGAUACAUAUGAAGAAGAAUAAAACCCUAAUCAAAGGGGUGAAAUCUUCCACAUUUGAUCACCAAAUUAGGUGGCUUAAGCAUUCAAGUGCAACAUGAAAUGAACUGCCUCCGUACAAGAGUAGUUAGAAGCAAUCUGGAUGUUGCAAUCCUAAUGGGCCAAGAGUUGGAUUAUAGAACUAGAAAUGCUUGUAGUCUUAUAGAUGUGGCUAGCUGCCGAGGCACAAUCCCCUUGAAAACUAGUGGUUUUUUAGCAUGAUUUGCAGGCUUCCGUUAUAGAUAUUGUAUGGGAAGUGAUUUCCCAACUCUCUUUCUUACCUCGUACAACUCCCUUUUUUCUUAGGUUUAGGGUUGGAUAAAUUAAAGGAGAAUCAAUUAAAAGAACAAAAGGUGAAUGCAUAAGGAGAAAACGAAUGAAACCCUAAUCAAAGUUGUGAAAUCUUCCACAUUUGAUCGCCAAAUUACUGAUGGAGAUGCUGCUUUCUCCUUGUAUUUAGGGUUGGAUAAAUCAAAGGAGAAUUAAACGAAAGAAACAAAAGAUGAAUAACGUGAUUGCAGGAGGAGAAAACGGGAAUGUGAAGAUCACUACCCUAUUUAAUUUGUCUUUUAUUGUAGGUUGCACUGCCUGUAGAACUGUAGAAGAGCAAAGACAGUGCAUGAUGAGAAUAGACAGUGCAUGGUGUCAUGUCUAUUGGUGUUAGAAAUUUGAUCCGAGUCUUUCCUUUUUGGAUUACAGUGAAGGACUGAGGCUUAUGCUAUAUCGUCCCUCCCAAUGCUAAGCACUAGCUAGUGGGCUGCCGAUUACAUCACAUGGGCUUUGAACUCUGUCAAUUAUUUCAAAAGACCUUUGCCUCUUCAAUGAGAGCCUCUAACCCAUAAUCCUAUGCUCCUAGAGCUAGAGCUUCUCCCCACCCUUCUUGGCAUUAACACACAGCUGGGAUAUACUUUUGUAUCUGUUUCUUCACGUGAUUAAUGAUUCGUUUGAUUGCUUUCUUC
rnacentral:lncRNA from 1 species